ensembl:lincRNA Gm6260 uncharacterized LOC110320554
GGAGAGAAGCAGAAGGUGGUUGGGUUGAGAAGUCUAUAACUCUCAGAUGAUGCAUGCUGACUCCCAGGAAGGUGACAGUGCUCUGACAAGCCAGCUUGGUGAUGCCACACCAUGCCAAUGAGGAUGAUGGUUAGAAACCAUUAACCUGUAUUGAAUCAAAGACAGCCAGAAGGAGUCUUCUCCUGUGACUCGCACCAACUCGGAAGCAUCAACUGGAAAGAGUAUUACCAUCUCCCAAUAGCAUCACAAGUUGGCAACCAGGGUUUAAGCAAUCAGCAGAAGAUUGCAACCUCCCAUUAUGAAAUGGCAUCAUAAAAUGCAGAGCACAGCCACCCUGACGGAAACCACCUUUCUCCUCUGCCAAUACACACAGGCUAGCAGUAAAUGCUUUUUGAGCUCCUGGCGUGCGGAUAAAUUCCCGCAGACGUCCCCAAUUGGACUGAGAGAUUGAGAGACACAAGGAAGAGAAUCGCUGAGGCUGGGAGAAUUUAACAUGGCAAUUAGCAACCCUUUGGCUUCCCUAGACCCCACAGCCUAAGACUGGGGUGCAAGAAACCGAAAAUCUCUCCAGCAGUGUCCAUGAUAAAUUGGUUGGGUCCCUGGGGUUAUUGGACACAGUUAUUAUCCAAUGGCAGCCUUGGAUAGUGUGCAAGUCUAUGUAGUGAGGUCAGAAAAUGAAACAGGGCUUUAAAUUCCCAAGGAGAGCUCCUUUUGCUUACGUCUCAAUUGGUAUGCCCUUUCCCCUUAUUCAGGAAGGCGCCGGAUCACAUCACAGCAUCUGUAUUACCUUCUCUAUCUGAACAAAUAACUUCUCAAACAUCACUUAUAUACAGCAAUUGUAACCAUUACCACUGGUGACUCUGUCCUUGAAAAGUUAGAAAAGUAAGAGAUGAAAUUGAAAAUAAAAAUAUUUAAAG